rnacentral:rRNA from 1 species
GGAAUUUUCCGCAAUGGGCGAAAGUCUGACGGAGCGACGCUGCGUGAAGGAUGACGGCCUGCGGGUUGUAAACUUCUUUUCUCGAAGAAGAAGCUUUGACGGUAUUCGAGGAAUAAGCAUCGGCUAACUCCGUGCCAGCAGCCGCGGUAAUACGGGAGUGGCAAGCGUUAUCCGGAAUUAUUGGGCGUAAAGCGUCCGCAGGCGGCCCUUCAAGUCUGCUGUUAAAAAGUGGAGCUUAACUCCAUCAUGGCAGUGGAAACUGUUGGGCUUGAGUGUGGUAGGGGCAGAGGGAAUUCCCGGUGUAGCGGUGAAAUGCGUAGAUAUCGGGAAGAACACCAGUGGCGAAGGCGCUCUGCUGGGCCAUCACUGACGCUCAUGGACGAAAGCCAGGGGAGCGAAAGGGAUUAGAUACCCCAGUAGUC